AAUGAAUUUCAAAACUAGGGUGGAAUUACGGCUGCAGUUAUCUAUGUAGAAAAGACUCUUUUCUACGUAGAAAAGAUUCUUUUCUAUAUA